CGGCGCGGCGCAGGGCGGUAAACAAGAUGGCGGCGGCGUGUCGGUCUAGGAAAGGGGAGGCGGCUCACAGCGCCCGCGAGUGAGGCGCGAGCCUCCGAGGGCGGUGUCGGCGUGGAGUUUUCUCUCGCGGACAGCAUCUUUCUGCCUGAAGUUCGACUCCCCCCUCGCCGCUCCGGCCUCCUGCCUGUCACGCGGCGGCUAGGCGGCGAGGGGGACGCGCCGCCCCGGGUGGUUUUCUCCCCCCAUUGGUCCCCCGAAGAUUUCCUGUCCCGACUUCGUGCCCGCGACUUGUGGGUGUCCCGCGUCCGGGUGGAGUUUGCGCACCGAGAAGUCGUGGAACUAAGGGAACUAAGGGGCCGCGCGCGGCGUCGGCGCGGGCCGGACAUGGACGGAGCGGACCGUCCUCGACGCGGCCGCCUGGGCCCCUGAGCGCGGGGCCCAAGUGGCGACCAUGACCUAGCGGCCCGCGCGCCGCGACGGCGGACCGUCGCCUCCGUCGGAAGCAGCGUCCCCGGGGACCCGAAUUAGGGGGACGCGAGGGUUGGGGGGGCUCAUUGCUUUUUUUUUUUUUAUUCUUAUUUUCAUUUUUUUUCUCCCUGAGCACCUAGAAGAAAAGGGGAAAAUCAAAAGUGAAGAAUUGGCGCCCAGGAAACGGACGUGGACCCGGUUGUGGGGACCGGGAGGGUUGUGGAGGUCGUUCCUUCCCCCCCCCCCAUUCCUUUUUUUCCCCUUCUUGAACAUUUGGAAGAAGCGGGUGGGGGAAAUUUGAACUUGAAAAGAAUUGGCGCUCCCGAAGGGGACGAGGACAAAGAGUGGGCCAGGAUGGACGUGGCUGACCCCCAGCCGUUGGGCCUGUUCCCCGAGGGCGAGCUAAUGUCGGUGGGCAUGGACACCUUCAUCCACCGCAUCGACUCCACCGAGGUGAUCUACCAGCCGCGCCGCAAGCGCGCCAAGCUCAUCGGCAAGUACCUGAUGGGGGACCUGCUCGGGGAGGGCUCGUACGGCAAGGUGAAGGAGGUGCUGGACUCCGAGACCUUAUGCCGCAGGGCGGUCAAGAUCCUCAAGAAGAAAAAGCUGCGCAGGAUCCCCAAUGGCGAGGCCAACGUCAAGAAGGAGAUCCAGCUGCUGCGGCGGCUGCGGCAUCGGAAUGUGAUCCAGCUUGUGGAUGUGCUGUACAAUGAGGAGAAGCAGAAGAUGUAUAUGGUGAUGGAGUACUGCGUGUGUGGCAUGCAGGAGAUGCUGGACAGUGUGCCAGAGAAGCGCUUCCCCGUGUGCCAAGCUCAUGGGUACUUCCGCCAGCUGAUUGACGGCCUGGAGUACCUACACAGCCAGGGCAUUGUUCACAAGGACAUCAAGCCGGGCAACCUGCUCCUCACCACCAAUGGCACACUCAAGAUCUCCGACCUCGGUGUUGCCGAGGCCUUGCACCCUUUCGCUGUGGAUGACACCUGCCGGACCAGCCAGGGCUCCCCAGCCUUCCAGCCUCCAGAGAUUGCCAAUGGACUGGACACCUUUUCAGGUUUCAAGGUGGACAUCUGGUCAGCUGGGGUCACACUCUACAACAUCACCACGGGCCUGUACCCAUUUGAGGGGGACAAUAUCUACAAGCUCUUUGAGAACAUCGGGAGAGGGGACUUCACCAUCCCUUGUGACUGCGCUCCACCACUCUCUGACCUACUCCGAGGGAUGUUGGAGUACGAGCCAGCCAAGAGGUUCUCCAUCCGACAGAUUAGACAGCACAGCUGGUUCCGGAAGAAACACCCGCUGGCCGAGGCUCUUGUGCCUAUCCCCCCAAGUCCAGACACUAAGGACCGCUGGCGCAGCAUGACCGUAGUGCCCUACCUGGAGGACCUGCAUGGCCGUGCAGAGGAGGAGGAGGACGAGGACUUGUUUGACAUUGAGGACGGCAUCAUCUAUACCCAGGACUUCACAGUGCCUGGUGUCGAGGAGACGGCCGAGUCAGGGCUUAGCGAGGACGCAUGCGACACAUGCAUGUGGAAGAGCCAGGGCGCAGGCCUUCCCGGAGAGGAGCCCGAGGAGGGCUUCGGGGCCGUAGUGUAGCUCCCUGUCUGCUGCCCCACUUGUCUUCCAUAAAGCUUUGUCCACUGUGUCUGCAGGGGGAUGCUUACCGCGACUGCCCUCCCUCCCUCCCUCCCUCCCUCCCUCCCUCUUCCUUCCCUCCCUCCCCGUCACUGCUCCUCAUGACAGGCUUCCUACCAGGGUUUCAAAGGACAUGCCUGGGCCCAGGGCCUGGGGCAGGGUUUCAGCGUCAGGGUGGCCACCAGCCAGGGCUGUGGAGCCUUUGUUCCUGUGCCCCUCAGGCCAGCCCCACUCAGCUCCUGGCCUUUCAAACAGCCAUGUGGGGAGGGUAAGGACCUUGGGCUACUGUGUCUCCUGUAGCAGAUCAGUGUUCUGAAAGCAGUGCCCCCGCUGGGUGCCAGGUCGGCCCACAAGGACAGGUGUGCGCCUGAGGUUCAGUGUGGGCCUUGGCUGCAGCCCUUCCAUCCCCAUGUGGGAAUAGUGUCUUCUCUCUGUCACCUGGAGCCCUUGCCUACACUGUCCCACCGGCUCAGCUCUGAGCUGAUAGCUGGUGCGGGGCAAGGCCCUCUUUCUUGCUGUGGGCCCCUCUGCUGGGGAGCAGGCGCACGGAGAUGCUGGCUGCAUGAGGGACCCUCAAGGCUGCUGGGAAGGAAGGGACAACUGGGGGAGUGCUUGCUGUACAGGGAAGUGAUGGCACUCAGAGGGGAGCCUGGUUCCUCUGCCUGCAGCAACAGCACAGGGCCUUUCUACUCAGUGUCUUGUGUGGAUGGAGGAGGGGCAGAGUCCACCUGACCCCACGCCUAGUCCUGUCCAGCAUGAGAGCCUGGGUGGGUGCUGCCAGUGUGGCUGAGUAGGAGGCUCUGGGAACAAGGGCAGUAGGGCUUGUGCUGGGUUCUCAGCCACAUUGCAGAGCACUGGGCUAUGUAGUUACCCGUACACUCUGCCCACUGAAGCCUGGGGAGCUCAGAAGAGGUCGCCUCUUGUUCCACCAUGAGUGCAGCCCAGCAGAGCAUGCUGGGCCUGCAGCCCCCAGCUGGAUGGUCUCCUUCCCCAUGCUCUGCACAUCUAGUAGCCCCCAGGCUGAGGGCUUCAUCUCCUUGUGCCUGUUCUGAGGGUCUAGAGCCUGGCUCCCUUGGAGAGCUCUGUGAGCUGGUGCUGGGCUACCCAGGCUAGACAGGCAGGUGAGCAUGGGUGUGCUGCAGGAGGGCCAGGGCAUACCACUGGGAAGGUAUGGCCUGACUAUCUUUGGAGCUACUGAGGGGUGGCAGAGACCAGCCUCUGGUGCAAUUGGGGCUGGCUGGACCCUGGGACUUUGAGCUGCCUGGCCCUUGACUCAAGCUAUGCUUGCCAUCUUCCCGCAGGACAGGUCCUGGAAGAGGAAGUGGGUCAGAAUGGACAGAGCCACAGCCUGCCCAAGGCUGUUUGUGUGAAUGGCACAGAGCCCCAGCUCAGCAGCAAGGUGAAGCCAGAAGGCCGGCCUGGCGCUGCCAACCCUGCACGCAAGGUGUGCUCCAGCAACAAGAUCCGCCGGCUCUCGGCCUGCAAGCAGCAGUGACUGAGGCCUACAGUGUGUCGCCAGGAUCUUUGGGCAGGUGUCCCGGCAAUACUGAUUCCGGGCCUGUCUGUCCACAUACUUCUGGACAUUGGAGCCGAGGGCAGACCUGCCACCCCAGAAGCACUUUAUGUCGAGACCACUGGUCGGCCUCGCCUGCAUGCCGCCCUGCGAGCCUCGCUGUCUUUGGGUUGGUUUUUUUUUUCCUUUUUUUUUUUUUUUUUUUUU